rnacentral:rRNA from 1 species
AAUCAACGCUGGCGGCGUGCCUAACACAUGCAAGUCGAACGCGAAAGCCCCUUCGGGGGUUAGUAGAGUGGCGUCCGGGUGAGUAACACGUGGGUAAUCUGCCUUCGGGUGGGGAAUAACCCAGGGAAACUUGGGCUAAUACCGCAUAAUGCAGCGGCACCUAAUGGUGAUUAGUUGUUAAAGCGGGGGAUCGCAAGACCUCGCGCCUGAAGAGGAGCCUGCGGCAGAUUAGCAGUUGGUGAGGUAAUGGCUCACCAAGGCUUCGAUCUGUAGCUGGUCUGAGAGGACGGCCAGCCACACUGGCACUGACACACGGGCCAGACUCCUACGGGAGGCAGCAGUGGGGAAUUUUGGGCAAUGGGCGAAAGCCUGACGCAGCGACGCCGCGUGAGGGAUGACGGCCUCGGUU